rnacentral:rRNA from 1 species
GACGAACGCUGGCGGCGUGCUUAACACAUGCAAGUCGAACGGAAAGGCGCUGCUUUUGUGGGGUGCUCGAGUGGCGAACGGGUGAGUAACACGUGAGUAACCUGCCCUUGACUUUGGGAUAACUUCAGGAAACUGGGGCUAAUACCGGAGAGGAGCUACUGCUGCAUGGGGGGGGUUGGAAAGUGUCGGUGGUUGGGGAUGGACUCGAGGGUUAUCAGCUGGAUUGGGGGGUAGUGGCUUACCAAGGCUUUGAAGGGUAGCCGGCCUGAGAGGGUGACCGGCCACAUUGGUACUGAGAUACGGCCCAGUAUCGUACGGGAGGCAGCAGUGGGGAACAUUGCACAAUGGCCGGAAGCGAGAUGUAGCAACGCUGCGUGCGGGAUGCCGGCCUUCGGGUUGUAAACCGCUUUCGACUGUGACGAAGCCUGAGUGACGGUAAUGGGUCAAGAAGCACCGGCUAACUACGUG